rnacentral:rRNA from 1 species
AUUGAACGCUGGCGGCAGGCCUAACACAUGCAAGUCGAACGGUAACAGGGAUCAGCUUGCUGUUUCGCUGACGAGUGGCGGACGGGUGAGUAAUGUCUGGGAAACUGCCUUAUGGAGGGGGAUAACUACUGGAAACGGUAGCUAAUACCGCAUAACGUCGCAAGACCAAAGAGGGGGACCUUCGGGCCUCUUGCCAUCGGAUGUGCCCAGAUGGGAUUAGCUAGUAGGUGGGGUAACGGCUCACCUAGGCGACGAUCCCUAGCUGGUCUGAGAGGAUGACCAGCCACACUGGAACUGAGACACGGUCCAGACUCCUACGGGAGGCAGCAGUGGGGAAUAUUGCACAAUGGGCGCAAGCCUGAUGCAGCAAUGCCGCGUGUAUGAAGAAGGCCUUCGGGUUGUAAAGUACUUUCAGCGGGGAGGAAGGGAGGAAAGUUAAUACCUGUGCUCAUUGACGUUACCCGAAGAAGAAGCACCGGCUAACUACGUG